AGCUUCCGGAGCAGCUGGGACUGCUGGCGCCCGCCACUACGCUCGGCUAAUUUUUUUGUGUUUUUAGUAGAGACGGGCUUUCACCGUGUUGGCCUAGCGGUUCUCCAACUCCUGACCUCAUGAUCCCCCCGCCUCAGCCUCCCAAAGUGCUGGGAUUACAAGCGUGAGCCACCGCGACCCGCCAACACUCUUGACAACAGUGCUGUGCUAAGAACUUGGGGGACUUCAAAAAGUUCACCAGUUCCUGUGUCCAUGGGUGAAAAGAUUUUCUACAUCUUUCCUUGACUAGAAACAGAAGUCCUGAAACAAGAAUAUAACGUCAGGAGGCCAGAGGCUUUGUCCUGCCUAAUGUGUUAUUUCCACACUGAAUAAAAGCACCUGAGUCCUGGUAAGUCUAAUUUGCUAGGUGUGGCAAUAUGACCAGUGAAAAACAACAAGGGCAGCAUUUCCUGCAGUUCGGUGGCACAGUAUGGUUCAAAGAGGUAUAAAAGGAAGUCACAGGCAUUUUAAAAAGGUUGUACAUCUAGCAAUACCUAACAAAAUAGGAAAUCAACUUGUGUCAUUGCAAGAGCAGUUUAGACAAGGCUACAAAUCUACAAGAUGACAUCAGUUAAUACAGUGAAGACAGCUGGAAAUGCAGAGCAUUCAUACAGGAGGCAAUGUAUUGUAAUGGAGAUUUCCGUUUCAUUUCUCAGCAGAGAGCAGCCACUGUCUUUUGUGUUUGGAUAGACAUAUGGAUAUAAGAAAAAUUAUAGAAUAGGAUAGAAGACAUAGUAAUCUAAUGAGUGUUCUGACUGAAUGUUCUAACCUAUGAAAUUAUCAGUCCAAAACUACAUGUUCAGAACUUACGUGCAACAUUAUCUUGCGUUAUAUUAGUAAGUACAUUAAAGGAAAUAGUGGGAAGAAUAAAAUU
rnacentral:lncRNA from 1 species